UGCAUCCAAAUGAUUAGAUCGUAUUCCAGGGCCCACGAUUCUACCCUGAAAAUUAGGUUGUUCUGCUCCUCAGGCAUGGAAUGUCUACAAAAAGGCUUUUAAGGAGUGAAAGAGCCUACAUUUUUUUGGCUAGGAGAUAUAAUCAGGAUUCUUUUCAAGUAUCCUCCUAGGAAGAGCUUUGCCGCAAAUGACAUGUUUGGUUUCGAUCUGUUCAGACCAGGCAAAGCUGGAUUGAGGAAAUCAAUCAAUGGCAAGCAGAAGUACUAGAUGCCCAACUGACGGUUGAGCAGCUUCAACAACAAUAUCAGUUGCUCAAGGCCCAAAAUGAGAUGUUGAAGUUGUGGGAACUUCCAUUUGGUAGAGUUUUAGGACAGCUUUUUAGUUCAUCAAUAGAAACUCUCACAAAAAUCAAAACGACAUCUCUCUCUCUCUCUCUCUCUCUCUCUCUCUCUCUCUCUCUCUCUCUCUCUAGAAACUGCAUUUUUCUUCAUUCCUUGCAUCAAAUUACCAAAUCUUGUUAAUUCAAAACCAUCCAAAUAAUUCAAAACCUGCAAUUUUCUGUUUGACAAGCGCUGAAAUGGGAAUCUUGAGAAUUCGUUUUUUAUAAAUUCAGCACAAGCGCAUGUAGGCGUUUCAAAUUCUAAAAAAGGUAGAAAUUUGCAGUAUGCUGAGCGGAUUCCUAUUGGGUUGGAAAAGGUGAUUCGAACAGUUUCUUCUGAAACGGUCAAGCAAUUUUAUAAUAGAUUGUACCAUUUACACAAUAUGGCUGUGGUCGCUGUUGGAGAUUUUACUGAUACACAGUGUAGUUGAAUUGAUAAGGACUCACUUUGGGGGAAAAGUUUCAAUCUCCACCCUGCCACUUAUACCAGAAUUACCUGUUCCAUCUCAUGGUGAACCGCGCUUUUCAUGUUUUGUUGAAUCUGAAGCUGGUGGGGUACAAAUUGAAAGAUCCAUUGAUUUAAGAUCCUAGAUGGAUUUCUUGUUCUCAACCAGCUUCUACAAGCGUGCAGCAACUUGUGUAAAGUUGCACUAGCAUGGUAUGUCUUGCCACUUCUACAAGUGUGCGGCAACUUGCAGAUUGUAUGCUCAAAGGCCAUUUUUACUUGAUUUAUACCAAAACCAAAUUGCAAGUAUCGACAGAGAACAUAAGAAACUGUUACGAAUGAAUUUAGCAAAUUUAUAACAGAAUUAUUUUAUAUAGAGAUUACCUUAAUCCACUUCAUUCAUUUAUUGCAUAUUAAAAAAAAAAAAAUCAGCGAUAAAUUUGUUGCAUUUUGAAUCUGUUGUACCUAAUAAAAUAAAAAAUAAUAAAAGAAGUGCGAUGAAUAUGUAAUGUGAAGU